CUUUUGCAACAGAUUCCUCACCAAGGACACCAUUGCAUUGGUCCCCUCAGACAACUACAACCGUUGUCAGAAGACAUUCUCAAACAGCUCAAUACAGUGGCUUGAAUAUGUGGCCUCCGAUAAGAAUAUAUCAAUACAGCACGCCCUGAACAGGGGUGAAGUGAAAAUCGGUCCCUACUACGUUGAUGGUUAUGCUGAACGUGAUGGUUUUAGCACGGUCUAUGAAUUUCUAGGUUGUUUCUGGCACGGUCACCCAAAGUGUCAUUGUUCAACCAGCAUCAAUCCAAUGACAAAGAUUCAGUAUGGGUUGAUGCACCAGCAAUGGUUGACAAAGCUAGAGGCUUUGAAAGAACAACACAACGUACAUGUUCAAUACAUAUGGGAGUGUGAGUGGAACCGGCUUAAAAACACAUCCGCAGAUGUCAAAGCUUUCUUGAAGACCUUUGGUUCUCCAGAGCGCCUUGACCCUCGGGAUGCUCUUUUUGGUGGUCGUACUAAUGCGAUUCAUCUGAAGUUUACGGCUCGAGAAGGGGAGACUAUUCAGUAUAACGAUGUCUGUAGUCUUUACCCAUUCUGCAACAAGACAAAGACUUAUCCGAUUGGGCAUCCAGACAUAAUCUUUCGAGAUUUCAAACCCCUAGACACUUACUUUGGUAUUGUUAAGGCUACAGUGUGUCCACCGAAAGGCCUUUAUCACCCCGUUUUACCACACAGGGUUGGCGGUAAGCUGUUCUUUCCAUUGUGUAGAUUAUGUGCAGAGUCUGAAAACCAGGUAACUGAUUGUUCACACACUGAUUCAGAAAGAUCUUUAACCGGUACCUGGGUUUCUAUUGAGCUGGUUAAAGCUGUUGAGAAAGGUUAUCGCAUUGUGGAAAUAUUUGAAGUCUGGGAUUUCACCAGGACAUCAGAUGAUCUUUUUGCAGAUUACAUGAGAACAUUCCUGAAGCACAAGCAGGAAGCUAGUGGCUUCCCACCAUCUGUGGUUGACGAUGAGGCUAAAGACCGGUAUAUCCGUGAAUAUCAUGAAAAGGAGGGUGUGCAGCUUGACAAGGAAAACAUUGUUGUAAACAGUGCUAGGCGAUCUUUAGCUAAAUUGGCAAUGAAUAGUCUUUGGGGUAAGAUGGGUGAGCGGACUAACCUUAUGAACACAAUGUUAAUUACAGAUCCGGAGGAGUUUAGCCACUACCUUUUUUCCAGUGAAAUAGAUGUUGGUUAUUUCUCGUUCAUCUCAGACACUGUUGCGAUGGUACAGUGGCGUUACACAAAACAGACACCAAUCAAACCACGUAACGGCAACAUAUUUAUUGCCGCGUUCACAACAGCUUAUGCUAGACUCGAGUUGUAUUCACUCUUGGAAAAGUUGGAUAGACGUGUACUCUACACAGACACUGAUUCCGUGAUCUUUGUCACACGCCAUGGGGAUUGGGUCCCCCCACAGGGCCCGUUCUUGGGUGACUUGACCGAUGAGUUACCGGAUGGUGACAGCAUAGCUCAAUUUGUUAGUGGUGGGCCAAAGACAUAUGGUUACAAAACCGUUAAAGGUCUGACCUGUCUCAAAGCAAAAGGCAUUACGCUCAACAGCUACAACACAACCAUUGUUAAUUUGGAGACGCUGACACGACUGGUUGACAACUUUGUACGGGGUGAGGGCGGUGAUGAUGAUCAUGUCCUUGCUAAUGCAGACACAAUUGCUAGAGAUAAAAGAACAAUUACAUUGAAAAACCGAGUAGUGUCUAAGCGUUUCAGAGUUGUGUACAACAAGCGGGUACUGCUCCCUGAUUACAGCACAAGGCCUUACGGGUACUAAACCACAGUCUAGGAUGGAUAGCGCUUUUGACCCGCGACUACAACACCCAUUCAGCUGUGUCAUUAGUGGCCCCAGUAACUCUGGUAAAACAUAUUUUGUGAAGAUGUUGUUGGAUAAUGCAGAGGUGGUAUUCUCCAAAGAAAUUCAAAAUAUCGUCUGGGUUUAUUCAUGUUGGCAACCGCUGUAUGACGAACUGUUGAAAGUAAGGGAGAUACAUUUUAUAGAAGGUCUACCA
rnacentral:lncRNA from 1 species